AGUGAACGCUGCGGCGUGCCUAAUACAUGCAAGUCGAACGGAAUUUAAAAGAGCUUGCUCUUUUGAGUUUAGUGGCGCACGGGUGAGUAAUAUAUAGCUAAUCUGCCCCUUGCUGGAGGACAACAGUUAGAAAUGACUGCUAAUACUCCAUACUCCUUUUUACCAUAAGAUAAAUCGGGAAAGAAUUUCGGCAAGGGAUGAGACUAUAUCGUAUCAGCUAGUCGGUGGGGUAACGGCCUACCGAGGCUAUGACGCGUAACUGGUCUGAGAGGAUGAUCAGUCACAUUGGAACUGAGACACGGUCCAAACUCCUACGGGAGGCAGCAGUAGGGAAUAUUGCGCAAUGGGGGAAACCCUGACGCAGCAACGCCGCGUGGAGGAUGACACUUUUCGGAGCGUAAACUCCUUUUGUUAGGGAAGAAUAAUGACGGUACCUAACGAAUAAGCACCGGCUAA
rnacentral:rRNA from 1 species